CUCGUAGGCGGUUGCGUAAGUCGGAUGUGAAAACUCAGGGCUUAACUCUGAGACGCCAUCCGAUACUGCGCUGACUUGAGUCCGGUAGAGGAGUGUGGAAUUCCUAGUGUAGCGGUGAAAUGCGCAGAUAUUAGGAGGAACACCUAUUGCGAAGGCAGCACUCUGGGCCGGAACUGACGCUGAGGAGCGAAAGCAUGGGUAGCAAACA
rnacentral:rRNA from 1 species